UUGCAUUAAAGUGCUUGGAACAGCUGUUUUCCUUACAGGACCGGGGAGACUCCUAUCUGUUUUCUCGUUGUAUUUAUCCUGCCUCCCAGGGUGAAAGACUAAAGAUUAAUUGUCUUAAGUGCGAGACUGCAUGUGGUCUGCUGCUAACUGAUGCAUCUGCCCAGGUAUCCAGCAGAGGUGUGGGGUAUUUAUUCCAGAAUGUUUUUAAAGCAAGUAGUUGGAAAGCUUGCCAACAUAAAGUACGAUUUACAAACCCCUCCCCUGUUCACAUAGUACCUGAAAAUAUUUACCCUUAUGAUUGUAAUUACUUUCCUAACACAUAGAAGCAAUAUAUAUUUUACUCUGCAUGAGAUGUAGGUAAUCGUUUUAUAAGCGGUGAUAAUUUCCGAGCCAUCUUCAAAAUAAUAGUCACGUUUAAGCUAACGUGAAUUUUAGUAGUCGGUGGCAUUUUUUACUAAACGAGCAGAAAAUCACUUUUGUUUGCUUGUUUGUCUGGUUGCUUACUGCUUUCGGAAACAUAUAUUCGCC
rnacentral:lncRNA from 12 species